AAAACCCUCACGCGCAAUGAAAGUGAACGGAGGUGGGAGCUUUUACGAGCGCACCAUCGACCGAUCCUGAUGUCUUCGGAUGGAUUUGAGUACGAGCGUGGCUGUUGGGACCCGAAAGAUGGUGAACUUUGCAUGGAUAGGGUGAAGCCAGAGGAAACUCUGGUGGAGGCUCGCAGCGGUUCUGACGUGCAAAUCGAUCGUCAAAUCAGUGCAAAGGGGCGAAAGACUAAUCGAACCGUCUAGUAGCUGGUUCCUGCCGAAGUUUCCCUCAGGAUAGCAGUAACGAACUCAGUUUUAUGAGGUAGAGCGAAUGAUUAGAGGCCUUGGGGCUGAAACAGCCUUAACCUAUUCUCAAACUUCGAAUAUGUAAGAAGUCCUUGUUACUUAGUUGAACGUGGACACUCGAAUGCAACGUUACUAGUGGGCCAUUUUUGGUAAGCAGAACUGGCGAUGCGGGAUGAACCGAACGCGAGGUUAAGGUGCCGGAAUGCACGCUCAUCAGACACCACAAAAGGUGUUAGUUCAUCCAGACAGCAGGACGGUGGCCAUGGAAGUCGGAACCCGCUAAGGAGUGUGUAACAACUCACCUGCCGAAUGAACUAGCCCUGAAAAUGGAUGGCGCUCAAGCGUGCUACCCAUACCUCGCCGCCGGGGCAGGAUCGAAGCCCCGGCGAGUAGGCAGGCGCGGCGGUCGGUGA
rnacentral:rRNA from 1 species